UACGAAGGGGGCUAGCGUUGCUCGGAAUCACUGGGCGUAAAGGGUGCGUAGGCGGGUCUUUAAGUCAGGGGUGAAAUCCUGGAGCUCAACUCCAGAACUGCCUUUGAUACUGAGGAUCUUGAGUUCGGGAGAGGUGAGUGGAACUGCGAGUGUAGAGGUGAAAUGCGUAGAUAUCGGGAGGAACACCAGUGGCGAAGGCGGCUUUCUGGUCUGCUCUUGACGCUGAGGCGCGAAAGCUAGGGUAGCAAACGGG
rnacentral:rRNA from 1 species